ensembl:lncRNA
CAACACGGAGCUGCCUUGUCUACUGUGGUUUCAUACCCCAAAUUCACAGUAUCGCUUCUAUACCAGCACUCAAACUCUGAUCUCAUUCACUCUGGGAUGAAAGACGAGCAACAUCUCCUGCAGGCACCAUUUCUACUGGUUGAAGCAAGUACUGAAGAAGAAAGAGUCAUCAGCUGGGAUGUGCCUUCUGAGCACAAGCAUUUAUCAGCAGCUUUUAUUUACCAACAAUUUCUGUUACUGGCAUCAUGUCUCAGCACUGGCAACGAGUGGGGAUUUGAGGGUGUCAGAGGCCACGCUCACUUCCUGGCAUACAGUCAGCAUUUCUUGGAACCACGUUGUACACCAGCCAGAAGUAGCUGUUUGCAUCUCCAGUGAGCUUCUGCUCUUUGCUAUUAAAAGCUGCCUAUCGUCGCAUUCAUUGCAAGCAACAUUCAAAAAGGAGGCCGUCCACUCCAAGGAAUGAAAAAUAGGCACUGGAAACAGCUGGACUAGUCUUCAAAACAUCACUUUAUGGGCAACUUUAGUGCUUCUGGAAUGCUUCCAGGAGAACAGAUAGCUGCUCUUCCACUACUGAAUUCUCUUCCACUGGUUCAAACCGUC